rnacentral:rRNA from 1 species
AUACGUAGGUGGCAAGCGUUGUCCGGAUUUACUGGGCGUAAAGGAUGCGUAGGCGGAUGUUUAAGUGAGAUGUGAAAUUCCCGGGCUUAACUUGGGAGCUGCAUUUCAAACUGGAUGUCUAGAGUGCAGGAGAGGAGAAUGGAAUUCCUAGUGUAGCGGUGAAAUGCGUAGAGAUUAGGAAGAACACCAGUGGCGAAGGCGAUUCUCUGGACUGUAACUGACGCUGAGGCAUGAAAUCGUGAGUAGCAAACAGGAUUAGAUACCCUGGUAGUCCACGCCGUAAACGAUGAGUACUAGGUGUAGGAGGUCCAACCUUCUGUGCCGCAGUUAACACAAUAAGUACUCCGCCUGGGAAGUACGAUCGCAAGAUUAAA